CCUACGGGAGGCAGCAGUAGGGAAUAUUGCACAAUGGGGGAAACCCUGAUGCAGCGACGCCGCGUGGAGGAUGAAGUUUUUCGGUUUGUAAACCUCUAUUGUCAGGGAAGAUAAUGACGGUACCUAACUAAUAAGCCCCGGCUAACUACGUGCCAGCAGCCGCGGUAAUACGGAGGGUGCAAGCGUUAUCCGGAUUUACUGGGCGUAAAGAGCGCGUAGGCGGGGUAGCAAGUCUGAUGUGAAAUCUUAGGGCUUAACCAUAGAACUGCAUUUGAAACUGUUAUUCUAGAGUAUGGGAGAGGUAGGUGGAAUUCUUGGUGUAGGGGUGAAAUCCGUAGAGAUCAAGAGGAAUACUCAUGGCGAAGGCGGCCUGCUGGAACGUAACUGACGCUGAUGCGCGAAAGCGUGGGGAGCAAACAGGAUUAGAUACCCGAGUAGUC
rnacentral:rRNA from 1 species